rnacentral:rRNA from 1 species
CAGCAGGCGCGAAAACUUUACAAUGCUGGCAACAGCGAUAAGGGGAUCUCGAGUGCCAGGAUACAAUCUUGGCUGUCGCGAUGCCUAAAAAGCAUUGCAUAGCAAGGGCCGGGCAAGACCGGUGCCAGCCGCCGCGGUAACACCGGCGGCUCGAGUGGUAACCGCUAUUAUUGGGUCUAAAGGGUCUGUAGCCGGCCGGAUAAGUCUUUUGGGAAAUCCAGCUGCUCAACAGUUGGGCUUUCAGAAGAUACUGUUCGGCUCGAGACCGGGAGAGGUGAGAGGUACUUCAGGGGUAGGGGUGAAAUCUUGUAAUCCUUGAAGGACCACCAGUGGCGAAGGCGUCUCACCAGAACGGAUCUGACGGCAAGGGACGGAAGCUAGGGGCACGAACCGGAUUAGAUACCCGGGUAGUCCUAGCCGUAAACGAUACUCGCUAGGUGUCAGCCACGGUGCGACCGUGGUUGGUGCCGUAGGGAAGCCGUGAAGCGAGCCACCUGGGAAGUACGGCCGCAAGGCUGAAACUUAAAGGAAUUGGCGGGGGAGCACAAGGGCGAAUCGCG